ACUCCUACGGGAGGCAGCAGUGGGGAAUAUUGCACAAUGGGCGCAAGCCUGAUGCAGCCAUGCCGCGUGUGUGAAGAAGGCCUUCGGGUUGUAAAGCACUUUCAGUCGUGAGGAAGGUAGUGUAGUUAAUAGCUGCAUUAUUUGACGUUAGCGACAGAAGAAGCACCGGCUAACUCCGUGCCAGCAGCCGCGGUAAUACGGAGGGUGCGAGCGUUAAUCGGAAUUACUGGGCGUAAAGCGCAUGCAGGUGGUUUGUUAAGUCAGAUGUGAAAGCCCGGGGCUCAACCUCGGAAUAGCAUUUGAAACUGGCAGACUAGAGUACUGUAGAGGGGGUAGAAUUUCAGGUGUAGCGGUGAAAUGCGUAGAGAUCUGAAGGAAUACCGGUGGCGAAGGCGGCCCCUGGACAGAUACUGACACUCAGAUGCGAAAGCGUGGGAGCAAACAGGAUUAGAUACCCCGUGGUAGACUGUCA
rnacentral:rRNA from 1 species